rnacentral:rRNA from 1 species
UACGUAGGGGCCUAGCGUUGUCCGGAUUUAUUGGGCGUAAAGAGCUCGUAGGCGGUUCGGUAAGUCAGGUGUGAAAUCUCCACGCUCAACGUGGAGGCGCCACCUGAAACUGCCGUGACUCGAGUCCGGUAGGGGAGUGUGGAAUUCCCGGUGUGGCGGUGAAAUGCGCAGAUAUCAGGAGGAGCACCGGUGGCGAAGGCGCCACUCUGGGCCGGUACUGACGCUGAGGAGCGAAAGCGUGGGUAGCAAACAGG